rnacentral:rRNA from 1 species
GAUUGACCUCGGAUCAGGUAGGGAUACCCGCUGAACUUAAGCAUAUCAAUAAGCGGAGGAAAAGAAACCAACCGGGAUUGCCUCAGUAACGGCGAGUGAAGCGGCAAGAGCUCAAAUUUGAAAUCUGGCCCCCUCCGGGGUCCGAGUUGUAAUUUGCAGAGGAUGCUUUGGGUGCGGCCCCCGUCUAAGUGCCCUGGAACGGGCCGUCAUAGAGGGUGAGAAUCCCGUCUGGGACGAGGUGUCCGUGCCCGUGUAAAGCUCCUUCGACGAGUCGAGUUGUUUGGGAAUGCAGCUCUAAAUGGGUGGUAAAUUUCAUCUAAAGCUAAAUACUGGCCGGAGACCGAUAGCGCACAAGUAGAGUGAUCGAAAGAUGAAAAGCACUUUGAAAAGAGAGUUAAACAGCACGUGAAAUUGUUGAAAGGGAAGCGCUUGCGACCAGACUCGCCUACGGGGUUCAGCCGGCAUUCGUGCCGGUGUACUUCCCCGUGGGCGGGCCAGCGUCGGUUUGGGCGGUCGGUCAAAGGCCUCCGGAAUGUAUCACCCCCCGGGGUGUCUUAUAGCCGGAGGUGCAAUGCGGCCAGCCUAGACCGAGGAACGCGCUUCGGCUCGGACGCUGGCAUAAUGGUCGUAAGCGACC